CCCUUAGAUGUCCUGGGCUGCACGCGCGCUACACUGAUGUGUCCAGUAAGCACCUAACCUAUUCCGAAAGGAACGGGUAACCUUUGCAAAGCACAUCGUGAUGGGGAUAGAUUAUUGCAAUUAUUAGUCUUGAACGAGGAAUUCCUAGUAAGCACAAGUCAUCAGCUUGUGUUGAUUACGUCCCUGCCCUUUGUACACACCGCCCGUCGCUCCUACCGAUUGAAUGUUCCGGUGAGCUCUUCGGACUGCGCGGUCUGCAGUUUCUGCGUUCCGUGCGGAAAGUUGCGCAAACCUUAACAUUUAGAGGAAGGAGAAGUCGUAACA
rnacentral:rRNA from 1 species